GCCGUAACUAUCACAACAUGACUCUCACUCGGUGUCAAAGAUGCGGGGAAUAUCACAAGCAGAGUCAAUCGACGUUAAAAUCUCCCUCUGAUGACUUGAUGAUCACGUUGUUCAAAGACGCAACAAUCUACAUAAAUCGUGCUUUACCACAACAAUUUUUCAUGUAACUCUGUGGCGUUUUAGCAGUUUCAGAAAAGGCUCACCGAUGGAACACCGAUUUUUGAAGAAUACUAUUCAAUUUUAUCAUUUAGAAAGAAACAAUUGUGCCGGACAGAUUUUCUCUUGAGUAUCAGUCUUCUCAAGGAUAUCAAGAAACUAACGUCUUAUUGUCUUUAGGUUGUUGAAUUUUAUGUCUUGACUUGUAUGUUCUGCCUCUGCAAGAACAUAAAUUUUUCAUAAAUAUACCCUUAUAAA